rnacentral:tRNA from 1 species
AGCUAAUUAGCUUAAUAUAAAGCAUUUACUUUGAAAGUAAAAGAAAGAUUACAUCAUUUAUUGGCUU